rnacentral:tRNA from 4 species
GCGGUCGUGGCGAAAUUGGUAGACGCGCAGCCUUGAGGUGGCUGUGGCGAGAGUCAUGAGAGUUCGAGUCUCUCCGACCGCACCA